CGUGAUCUGCCCACCUCAGCCUCCCAAAGUGCUGGGAUUACAGACAUGAGCCACCACGCCCGGCUCAGAGACCUCUUGCAUGAGCCAUGAUUCUACCAAGCGCUCUACUCAUUCCCCCAAGAAAUCACGUCAUCCCCUUUUUACAGAUGAAGUUACCUGCUAAGCUAGAAGUGGCAGGAAGAAGCCAGUGGCUGGGACUACAGGCACCCACCACACACCUGGCUAAUUUUUAUAUUUUUAGUAGAGAUGGGGUUUUGCUAUGUUGGCCAGGCUGGUCUUGAACUCCUGGUUUCAAGUGAUCCACUCGCCUCGGCCUCCCAAAAUGCUAAGAUUACAGGUGUGAGCCACCACAUCCACCUCCCCAUGGUUGAGGAUUUGCUUCUGGAUCACCACCUCCAGGAAGCCUACCUCUGCAACCCCUAGGCAAUUUUGUUUUUUGAGAAGGUCUUGCUCUGUCACUCUGGCUAGAGCGCAGCAGGAGGCAGCAAGGCUGGGACCUGAGCAGUGAGUACAGCUCACUGUAGCCUUGAAUUCCUGGGCUCAAGUGAUCCUCCAGCCUCAGCUUCCCAAGCAGUUGGGACUACAGGCACGUACCACUGUGCUCGGCUAAUUUUUAUAUUUUGUAGAGAUGGGGUCUCACCACGUUGCUCAGGCUGGUCUUGAGCUCCUAGGCUCAAGCCAUCUUCCCACUUCGGUCUCCCAAAGUGCUGGCAUUACAGGCCUGAACCACUGUAUCUGGCGUUUUUGAACCCCAGCCUGUUACUCCCCUACAGAUCACACCACAACCUGCUUAGGCCGCAAGCGGCUCACCCGGAACAAUCCCUUCGUGCCACAAGUCCCUGGCUCAGUGCCCUUAACCACUCAAAUCACCUGGGUUUUUGUUUUUUUUUUUUUUGAGAUGGAGUCUUGCUGUUGCCCAGGCUGGAGUACAGUGGCGCGAUCUCAGCCCCCUGAAACCUCUGCCUCUCCCGGGUUCAGGCAAUUCUCCUGCUUCAGCCUCCCAGCUAGCUGGGAUUACAGGCACC
rnacentral:lncRNA from 10 species